GUAAGCAACCUCCGGCUUAAGACCGGAGGCUUCAGCCAGACUCGUUCUGAUUGAAGCCGAGCUUACCAGACUAUCAGUAGUUUACUACUGGGUUUACAUUAAGUGUUAAAGCUCUCACCUACGGAUGCGUAGCCAGUUCGUAGCACUGAA
rnacentral:sRNA from 18 species